rnacentral:rRNA from 1 species
CCUACGGGGGGCAGCAGUGAGGAAUAUUGGUCAAUGGGCGAGAGCCUGAACCAGCCAAGCCGCGUGAGGGAAGAAGGUACAGCGUAUCGUAAACCUCUUUUGUCAGGGAACAAAGGCGGGGACUAGUCCCCGGAUGAGGGUACCUGAAGAAAAAGCAUCGGCUAACUCCGUGCCAGCAGCCGCGGUAAUACGGAGGAUGCGAGCGUUAUCCGGAUUUAUUGGGUUAAAAGGGUGCGCAGGGGGCCUGUUAAGUCAGCGGGAAAAGCCCGGGGCUCAACCCCGGCGAGCCGUUGAAACUGGCGGGCUGGAGUUGGAGAGAAGUACGCGGAAUGCGCGGUGUAGCGGUGAAAUGCUUAGAUAUCGCGCAGAACCCCGAUUGCGAAGGCAGCGUACCGGCUCCACACUGACGCUGAGGCACGAAAGCGUGGGUAUCGAACAGGAUUAGAUACCCUUGUAGUC